GGGCGAUUAGCUCAGUGGUAGAGCGCUUCCUUCACACGGAAGAGGUCGCAGGUUCGAUACCUGCAUCGCCCA
rfam:Nitrospirae bacterium RIFCSPLOW2_12_42_9 rifcsplowo2_12_sub10_scaffold_1469, whole genome shotgun sequence.